UUGGCAAACGAAUACGACCAGCUCCUGUUGAAUCCCCCAGGUCCGGAAGGAAGCAAGGGUAAACGGUUGAUGCGGUGCGAUUUUCGUUUGCUUUUUU
rnacentral:SRP_RNA from 1 species